rnacentral:rRNA from 1 species
AUUGAACGCUGGCGGCAUGCCUUACACAUGCAAGUCGAACGGUAACGCGGGGCAACCUGGCGACGAGUGGCGAACGGGUGAGUAAUACAUCGGAACGUGCCCAGUAGUGGGGGAUAGCCCGGCGAAAGCCGGAUUAAUACCGCAUACGACCUACGGGUGAAAGCAGGGGAUCGCAAGACCUUGCGCUAUUGGAGCGGCCGAUGUCAGAUUAGGUUGUUGGUGGGGUAAAAGCCUACCAAGCCGACGAUCUGUAGCUGGUCUGAGAGGACGACCAGCCACACUGGGACUGAGACACGGCCCAGACUCCUACGGGAGGCAGCAGUGGGGAAUUUUGGGACAAUGGGCGCAAGCCUGAUCCAGCCAUGCCGCGUGCGGGAAGAAGGCCUCGGUUGUAACCGCUUUGUC